rnacentral:ncRNA from 2 species
CCCCAGCGCUAGGGGUGCCUCGUGCUGAGAAAUACCCUUAGAACCUGAUCCGGGUAAUACCGGCGGAGGGAAGCGUGGAAAAGACAAU